GCCUGUGUAGCUCAGUCAGUUGAGUGUCUGACUUUGGCUCAGGUCAUGAUCUCACAGUUCGUGAGUUCGAGCCCCACAUUGGGCU
rnacentral:tRNA from 1 species